AGUGAACGCUGGCGGUAUGCCUAACACAUGCAAGUCGAACGGCAGCACAGUAAGAGCUUGCUCUUACGGGUGGCGAGUGGCGGACGGGUGAGGAAUACAUCGGAAUCUACUUUUUCGUGGGUGAUAACGUAGGGAAACUUACGCUAAUACCGCAUACGACCUACUGGUGAAAGCAGGGGAUCUUCGGACCUUGCGCGAUUGAAUGAGCCGAUGUCGGAUUAGCUAGUUGGCGGGGUAAAGGCCCACCAAGGCGACGAUCCGUAGCUGGUCUGAGAGGAUGAUCAGCCACACUGGAACUGAGACACGGUCCAGACUCCUACGGGAGGCAGCAGUGGGGAAUAUUGGACAAUGGGCGCAAGCCUGAUCCAGCCAUACCGCGUGGGUGAAGAAGGCCUUCGGGUUGUAAAGCCCUUUUGUUGGGAAAGAAAAGCAGCAGGUUAAUACCCCGCUGUUCUGACGGUACCCAAAGAAUAAGCACCGGCUAACUUCGUG
rnacentral:rRNA from 1 species